rnacentral:rRNA from 1 species
GGGAGGCAGCAGUGGGGAAUAUUGCACAAUGGGCGCAAGCCUGAUGCAGCCAUGCCGCGUGUGUGAAGAAGGCCUUCGGGUUGUAAAGCACUUUCAGCGGGGAGGAAGGCGGUGAGGUUAAUAACCUUGUCGAUUGACGUUACCCGCAGAAGAAGCACCGGCUAACUCCGUGCCAGCAGCCGCGGUAAUACGGAGGGUGCAAGCGUUAAUCGGAAUUACUGGGCGUAAAGCGCACGCAGGCGGUCUGUCAAGUCGG